UACGUAGGGUGCAAGCGUUGUCCGGAAUUAUUGGGCGUAAAGAGCUCGUAGGCGGUUUGUUGCGUCGGCUGUGAAAACCUGAGGCUCAACCUCGGGCCUGCAGUCGAUACGGGCAAACUAGAGUUCGGUAGGGGAGACUGGAAUUCCUGGUGUAGCGGUGGAAUGCGCAGAUAUCAGGAGGAACACCGAUGGCGAAGGCAGGUCUCUGGGCCGAAACUGACGCUGAGGAGCGAAAGCGUGGGGAGCGGACAGG
rnacentral:rRNA from 1 species